rnacentral:rRNA from 1 species
UACAGAGGUCUCAAGCGUUGUUCGGAUUUACUGGGCGUAAAGGGCGCGUAGGCGGCCACCGCAAGUCGACUGUGAAAUCUCCGGGCUUAACUCGGAAAGGUCAGCCGAUACUGCGGGGCUAGAGUGCAGAAGGGGCAACUGGAAUUCUCGGUGUAGCGGUGAAAUGCGUAGAUAUCUGGAGGAACACCGGUGGCGAAGGCGGCAUCCUGGACCGAGAUUGACGCUGAGGCGCGAAAGCCAGGGGAGCAAACGGG